rnacentral:rRNA from 1 species
AGUGAACGCUGGCGGCGUGCUUAACACAUGCAAGUCGAACGAGAACGGAAUAUAGCUUGCUAUAUUUGUCAGCUAAGUGGCGCACGGGUGAGUAAUGUAUAGAUAACCUGCCCUUAAGAAAGGAAUAACAGUUGGAAACGACUGCUAAUGCCCUAUAUGCCUUUAAUACAUAAGUAUGCAAGGGAAACGCUUUAGUGCUUAAGGAUGGGUCUGUAUGGUAUCAGCUUGUUGGUGAGGUAAUGGCUCACCAAGGCUAUGACGCCUAACUGGUUUGAGAGGAUGAUCAGGCACACUGGAACUGAGACACGGUCCAGGCUCCUACGGGAGGCAGCAGUGGGGAAUAUUGCACAAUGGACGAAAGUCUGAUGCAGCAACGCCGCGUGGAGGAUGACACAUUUCGGUGCGUAAACUCCUUUUAUAUAGGAAGAUAAUGACGGUACUAUAUGAAUAAGCACCGGCUAACUCCGUGCCAGCAGCCGCAGUAAGAC